rnacentral:rRNA from 1 species
AGUGAACGCUGGCGGUAGGCCUAACACAUGCAAGUCGAACGGCAGCACAGUAAGAGCUUGCUCUUACGGGUGGCGAGUGGCGGACGGGUGAGGAAUACAUCGGAAUCUACUUUUUCGUGGGGGAUAACGUAGGGAAACUUACGCUAAUACCGCAUACGACCUACGGGUGAAAGCAGGGGAUCUUCGGACCUUGCGCGAUUGAAUGAGCCGAUGUCGGAUUAGCUAGUUGGCGGGGUAAAGGCCCACCAAGGCGACGAUCCGUAGCUGGUCUGAGAGGAUGAUCAGCCACACUGGAACUGAGACACGGUCCAGACUCCUACGGGAGGCAGCAGUGGAGAAUAUUAGACAAUGGGCGCAAGCCUGAUCCAGCCAUACCGCGUGGGUGAAGAAGGCCUUCGGGUUGUAAAGCCCUUUUGUUGGGAAAGAAAAGCAGCAGGUUAAUACCCCGCUGUUCUGACGGUACCCAAAGAAUAAGCACCGGCUAACUUCGUG